UGAAAAAGUAUCUUGAGUAAAUCCAUAUGCACAUCUCUUUUGACACGCUGCAUAUCAUAGUCUACGACUCAUAUGCCUCAACAAAGCCGUUGUGAAUGAUAUUCAUAACUGAAAUGUCAUGUCGCCAAUGUGUUUACAAGACGAGUUACACUUCAAACGUCAGCGGUCUGUGAUGUGGAGCUAUGAUUUUAAAUUGUUAGAGAGCAUUACUUUAAAUUAUUAACACUUAUUGCUUGGAAAAUAUAAUACAUCUGGAUAUACUUUACGUAUACUAUAUUACCUUAAGUAUACGCUGGUGGGACAUAAGUGAGGGAUCAUAAGUGAGGAUGAAAUUGGUCAGUUGGCCUAUUGUGAUGAAUCCCACAAGAAUUUACCACGAUGGUUUUUAGAUGGAAUCGUUUGAAGCUGGAAUGCUGCUGUAAACGGGCAGAGGGUGCAUUAAGCUAUCAUGCCAUCAACAUGGCCGUCUGGUUUCUUGAGCAAGCUCAGGAAUGUCUGCGAGGCGAGCCAGCAACCCGAGACGGAAGGAGCAGCGGCGGAAGCGGUGUACCAAGACACAUUUUUAUAUACAAAAGAACUUUUGUAAGACUAGAAGAUUCCAAGGGACGAUGAUCACAACGCGCAACCGUCUCGCUCCACUGUGCCGUGCAUCCUGCCCGAGUACAAAGUUUAAUUUUCCAAGUAUUUUUCCUUUCUUGAAACUUCGUUUUUGCAUAAUAAUAAAAGUUUGUGACAAAUGCAAAACAACAACUGAUAUUAUUAUUUAUAAACAACAUGACUCAUUUUCUCGCAAGAUAAAACAUUCUGAUUAAAUUACGUAAUUAUAAUUAAUCAUACAUAUUUUUUACUAACAUGUCUAGAAUUCAGAGAAAUAAUGUUUAGUAAUUGUUUGCAACUAAAGCUGAUUAAAAUGCAUAAUUUGUAUUUACUAUGGACACACAUUCCUCAAUACUGAAGCUGUAGGCUUUAUUGUGAUUUUAAAUUUGAUUUAUAGAUUUCUAUGGACUUAACGUGACUAAUAUUAGAAUUUGAAAAAAUAUUUGUAUGCUGUUUGUUACUUAAUCACAAUGAAAAGGCUAAACGUAUUUGAUUGAAAUUUGGACACAUAGAUGAUACACAGUACGUAUAUAUUACCUACAAUAGAUACAGAUACUCACGAAAAUAACAAAAUAAUUUUAAAUAGAUUAAAAAUAUUGAUUCUAACCUAAAUACUCGUAUUUAGUAGAAUUACAUACACUACAAAAUUUUACUACCAAGUACCGAACUAGAUUCUUAGAAUCAAAGAUAGAAACGCUACGUUUAAAAACUUAACCUAUUGUAGUUUUGUCUUCAAUAGAUGAUUCUUUAAAAAUUGAUUAAAAAUAUUUAUUCUAAUCUAAGUACUCGUAUUUCAUAGAAUUACAUUCACUACAAAAUUUGACUACGAACCACCUAAGUUCUUAAAAUCAAAAACUGAAUGCUACGUCUUAAAACUUAACAUAUUGUAGUUUUGUCUUCAAUAGGUAAUUCUUCGAAAAUUUAUUAAAAAAUAUUGAUUCUAACCUAAGUUACUCGUAUUUAGUAGAAUUACAGUUACUACAAAAUUUUACUACGAAGGACCGAACUAGGUUCUUAGAAUCAACGAUUGAACGCUUAGUCUUAAAACUUUACGUUUUGUAGUUUUGUCUUUAAUGGGUAAUUCUUCGAAAAUUUCAAAGUUGGUAACAAAUAUUAUUGCUAUUCAUUUCUUUUGUUUACUUCAUUUUGUAAACGCUUAAUAGCGUCAUAAAUUGCUCCUGACGAUUGUUGAUUAAACAAUUGAACGGGUCCCGCAUGUUUUGUUCGGCUCAAUGUAAACUGUUAUUGGAAAUCAAUUGACAUUGACUGAAUGCAUCAUUGGUUCAUUGUCAUAGUUUACUUUAUUAUUAUUUUGUAAAUUUUUCUCAAAAGGGGGGAAAAGAGGCUUCUUCAGGGUCGGCAACGCGCGCGUAAUAGCUCUGGUAUU